rnacentral:lncRNA from 1 species
GCUCCAAGUUGCCGCCAGAACCCAUGGCCGGCGUGGAAACCGCUGCGAGGCGGCGCCACGACGGAGGCUGAGGUCGCCGGCAGUAUCCAUGGCGUCCCAGAGCGGCAGCUCCCUGGGGCUCCUGGCCUGGUUCUUGCUUCUUCAGCCAUGGCUCGAAGAGGCCCGGGCAGGCAGGGUGGGUGCGCAGGGAGGCGUAGCACUGCUCUUCCCCUCCGCGCUCCCCUCAGGGCCAGGCGGCCAGGACCCCGGAGCGAGCGGAUGGGAGCCGCCACCUGUAGGGGCUCCAGGAUCCCCAGCGGCCCCCCAGUCCAGGGGGAACGCAGUGCGCCCCGCUUCGGUGUUACUUCCCUCAGGUGAGCCAUACCGACCCGAGGAGGAUUCCAGAAUGACCCCGGCAAGCCCAGAAGCCCGGACGUCUCCUGUGCACCCGAAAUUCCCCAAAAUUCCAGAAACUUCUGUAGCUCCAGGGUCUCCAGCGACCGCAGGGCCUCCAGGAUCCUGGGUUACUUCAGCAUCUACAGUGGGAGAAGCCUUGGAAUCCGACGGAAUCUCUGACCUUGGAAGGCAGUUUUCUCAGGGUAUUGUUUCUGGUGCUAGAUCUGUCCUGGCCUGCGGGGUAGGUCAAAGGGGACACAGCCUGGCUCAGGGAGGUUGAGGGUCAGACCCUGACCUAGAUGAUUUGAGAGAGAGGAUAGAUAACCCGCCUCCGCCCUGGGCAGCCUGGUGGGGUGGUGGGAAGGUAGUGGCUUCACUUCCAGUCCCCUCUCUUUACUGAGCCCACCAGCCUGUGGCCACCGUGUUUCAAGGAUGAUUGGAGGAUUGCCAGCCCCAAACAAGAAGUGGCCCUGGCAGGUGAGCCUGCAGACCAGCAACAUACACCACUGCGGAGGCUCCCUCAUCGACAGGCGCUGGGUGCUCACUGCCGCCCACUGUGUCUUUAGUUUCAGGACCAAUGCCACUUGUUCUUCAGGAGACUGAGCUAAACAUUAUGCGUCAUGAGAAAUGUUGUGAGAUGCUCAAGAACAAGAAUAUAUCCAAGAGUAAAAUGGUCACGAGGGGGACCGUCUGUGGCUAUAAUGACCAAGGGAAGGAUGCCUGUCAGGUCA